UAGGGAAUAUUGGGCAAUGGGUGAGAGCCUGACCCAGCCAUGCCGCGUGCCGGAAGACGGCCCUCUGGGUUGUAAACGGCUUUUAUACAGGAACAAAAGGGCCCUGCGGGGCAGAUUGCGUGUACUGUAUGAAUAAGCACCGGCUAACUCCGUGCCAGCAGCCGCGGUAAUACGGAGGGUGCCAGCGUUGUCCGGAUUUAUUGGGUUUAAAGGGUACGUAGGCGGAAGGCUAAGUCCGAGGUGAAAGCUCCUGGCUCAACCAGGAAAUUGCCUUGGAUACUGGCAGUCUUGAGUACAGUAGAGGUGGGCGGAAUUCAUGGUGUAGCGGUGAAAUGCAUAGAUACCAUGAGGAACACCGAUAGGGAAGCCAGCUCACUGGACUGUUACUGACGCUGAGGUACGAAAGCGUGGGGAGCGAACAGGAUUAGAUACCCGGGUAGUCC
rnacentral:rRNA from 1 species